rnacentral:rRNA from 1 species
GACGAACGCUGGCGGCGUGCCUAAUACAUGCAAGUAGAACGCUGAAGGAGGAGCUUGCUUCUCUGGAUGAGUUGCGAACGGGUGAGUAACGCGUAGGUAACCUGCCUGGUAGCGGGGGAUAACUAUUGGAAACGAUAGCUAAUACCGCAUAACAGUAGAUAUCGCAUGAUAUCUACUUGAAAGGUGCAAUUGCAUCACUACCAGAUGGACCUGCGUUGUAUUAGCUAGUUGGUGAGGUAACGGCUCACCAAGGCGACGAUACAUAGCCGACCUGAGAGGGUGAUCGGCCACACUGGGACUGAGACACGGCCCAGACUCCUACGGGAGGCAGCAGUAGGGAAUCUUCGGAAAUGGACGGAAGUCUGACCGAGCAACGCCGCGUGAGUGAAGAAGGUUUUCGGAUCGUAAAGCUCUGUUGUAAGAGAAGAACGAGUGUGAGAGUGGAAAGUUCACACUGUGACGGUAUCUUACCAGAAAGGGACGGCUAACUACGUG